rnacentral:rRNA from 1 species
UACGUAGGUGGCAAGCGUUAUCCGGAUUUAUUGGGCGUAAAGGGAACGCAGGGGGUCUUUUAAGUCUGAUGUGAAAGCCUUCGGCUUAACCGGAGUAGUGCAUUGGAAACUGGGAGACUUGAGUGCAGAAGAGGAGAGUGGAACUCCAUGUGUAGCGGUGAAAUGCGUAGAUAUAUGGAAGAACACCAGUGGCGAAAGCGGCUCUCUGGUCUGUAACUGACGCUGAGGUUCGAAAGCGUGGGUAGCAAACAGG